rnacentral:lncRNA from 1 species
AGAUAUGGACCAGUUAUAUCGACCAUUCCGCAACAGCUAUCCAGAUUCCAUUUCAACAUGAUUAGUUCGUGAUUCUACUUACUUGGUGUUCAAGAACAAGAAACCUUGUUUGAUCAUGAGCUUCUUAGGCAGAGUUCAGAGAUGAUGGGUGUGGGUUUUCUUACAUUAUAAACUUGCUCUGGUUCAUUCAUGUUUCAGCACAAACAGAUUAUUGAUCUGGUUCGGAUCUAAAUGGAUUCGUCAUUAUAUGACUAAAGGCUGUCUUUUCUAACCGUUGAACAUCUAUUCACUCAGUGUUAAAUGAUAUUUUCUAUUCUCGAAUUUGUUUAACAUUAUUAGAUGAUGAUGACAUUAGAUGUGGUCACUGGCGAUUAGUCUGACGGCAAAUUAUAUUGUGGUCAAUCAAGACAAGAGUACACUUUUGUUUUUUUGCUUCCCUCUCAAUCUCUCUGUUCAUCGUUUUCAAUAAGCACUUUUCACAGGCCAAUAGAGCCAGCAAUUAGAAAACAAAAUCAGAUUAUUUUUAAAAUUAACGACAGCUCUUUGACGUAAGGAAUUGAGAUUUUAAAAGUAACAAUAUUCCUCAAAUAAGUAUUUAUUACUCGUCCAAUUGUCAAGAAAUACAAAAUUUUCAGACGAAAAACUAUAAAAUAAUUCCCUACAACAAAUAGGAGCGGAGUGUUGACUUCACUACAAAAGUACAAAACAUUUACAAAAAUGUUUUCCAGCCAACUUAAUAUUCAAAAUAUUAUUACUAAAAAAACAAAGAAAACAUAUAUCUCGUAGAUAAACUUUAAUAUUACUUGGAGUUCUUGGUCUCGCAAAUACAAUCUGUCUACUUGCUAUUGAUACUUUCCUAAAAGACACUUGUUUAACAGAUUUGGAUGAUUCUCUACAAUCAUUGUUUCAUUAUUUACAAUCAUUGAAUUGAAUCAGACACGACAUUCCAACCAGAUUAGGGUUCGUAAUUAAAAAGUUCAUUGAGUAAUCCUUACGUAAUCCAAAUUAGAGAAGUCUGUCAUAUUUUUCGACUUCUUGCUAACGUAUAGACAUUUUUGUGUGUGAUACUGUAGAUUCAUAAUAAACCUCCCUUGCAAUUUGUAGAUUACAUUGAUAUCUUAUACUUUGUUCCUCCAGCAAAUAAUUUUUCCAUUGCGAUGGGGUUUACUGCUAAUUUGUUUCUUGAGUUGAAAACUAUAGAUUUUAGCACUGUAUCAAUAAUAUAAUUUCAUCUAAGUAGACUUUUGCUACACCUAAUCCAGCGUUACAUAUAUUCCAUUAUGACUUUUGUCUUCACUCCUUAUACAAAUGCUUACAAUACGAAAACAUGCAUAUAAAUAUCCAAAGUUUCAUGUGGGUCUAACUAUAUAAUAUACAGGUCUUUUGUCUUUCAUUUUAAGCAGCCCCAUUUGGUCAUUUCUUAAGUAUGUAGACUCUUAUUUGUGGACUUUGGUGAUGUAUAUAUGUUCUCUAAACCAUAAUAUUCACACAUGUUUCAGAACAGAGAUAAUGGCGAAAACGAAAUCUGGAGAGAUGCUAAAGGAGAGACAAAGGAAAGGGUUCUGGUCACCUGAAGAAGACGAGAAGCUAAGGAGAUUCAUCCUCUCUCAUGGCCAUUCUUGCUGGACCACUGUUCCCAUCAAAGCUGGUCUCUCUUUUUAAUCUUCUUUCCUCAAUACUUAUUUGUUCUUUGGAUGAUCCCUAGUUACCUUAGUCUUUUUUUUUGUGGGAUUGAAUAUGAAAAGGGUUACAAAGGAAUGGGAAGAGCUGCAGACUUAGAUGGAUUAAUUACCUAAGACCUGGGUUAAAGAGGGAUAUGAUUAGUGCAGAAGAAGAAGAAAUUAUCUUGACGUUUCACUCUUCCUUGGGAAACAAGUAAGCAUAACCCUGACUGAAACCCUAACCCUAUUGUUCUAGUAGAUGCUAAAGAUAGCACUUUUUGGGUGUGAAUAGGUGGUCAAAGAUUGCGCAAUACUUACCAGGAAGAACUGACAACGAGAUAAAGAACUAUUGGCAUUCUCAUUUGAAAAAGAGAUGGCUCAAGCCUCCAUCUAUGUCCUCUUCUUCUGAAUCACGUGUUUCUUGUAGAGAAAGAAACCCCCAAACCUUAGUCUCGAAUCACGUCAUCUCAUUCCAGGGACUUCCUGAUAAGACAUCUUCAUCUCCAUCAGAAGAAAGCAACAACAACUAUCUAUGUUCUUCUGGUCCUGAGAUUCCAAGGCUUUUCUUCUCCGAGUGGUUUUCUUCUUCUGAUUUGACAGACUCCAACCACAAUCAUGCUCCAAGUAUUGAAGGAACUAUCUCAGAUUACCAAGAAUCAGGUGACGUUGAUCGGUUCCAUUACAACAAUAUGAUGAUGAACAACAGCAACUGGACUCUUGAAGACAUUGUCUUUGGUUCCAAGUGUCAGAAGCAGGAGCAUAACGUUGAUAGAGAGGGCCUAGAUUGUAACUCUUCUGAUAUUUUAUUUUCUUCAUCAAUAAUGAUGUAGCUAUGUUACGUCUAAACUAAUGUAAAUCAAAUUUAUAAAGUAAAUAAUCAUGGUAAGAUGUUUAAAGAUUUUCAAGAUUCAUUAACUUUAUAGUCUUUAUUGAAGAUUCUAGACACAAGAAGCAAGCAAACUCUUAGUUAGCUAAAUCAAACACAAAGUUUCCAGCUACAAAUACAUCAUAUAAAUAUGAUCUAGUGAUAGUAAAAUUGGCAACACAGAUAUGCGUGGAAUGUAGAAAAUGUUUCAUAUAGCAGAAUAGCUGUAGUUAUCAGCAUCAUCAAUGGAGAAGGGCGGCGAAGGAGACUUGCAGAAACAGUGACACUACAAGAAAACAAGACCUUAACGACUACAAUAUUAGUAGCUAAUUGGUUGUAAUAUGGGCAUUAGACCAAUUAACUUCGAAAAUUGAUUGGUCGUUAGAAGCUGGUUGUAAUUAAUUAUUCGAGGCACAUUGGGCGUGAUAUUACGACUAGACAUAUUAGUCGUACACUGGUCGUAACCUUACGACCAAUUUACCUCUAAUGUCGAUGUUUAUUAGUCGUGAGGUAACGACCACUUUACAUCGAUUUUAGACGUUCAUAGGUCGUAAAUUUGACAAACUUUAUUUAUUUAUUUUCGAAUUUUGUAUUUAUUUACGAAUUUCAUAUAUUAAUUAAAAUCAAAUAUUUAAAUUUAGUUUGAUUUAAUUUUUAAAAUUUUGAUAAAAUUAAAAGAAAAUAUCUAAUAUCCGUAAACAUAAUAAUAUCCAUAAUAUAAAACAUUCAAAAUACAAAUUAAUUAAAACCGGAAAAAACUACGCAUUAAGGUUUAUUUCGUCGAAGAAGUCGGAUGAUGUGCCGGAGGUAGAAGCAGAUGAAUCCGGCUGUCCGAGAAAGGUACUCCCGUAAGAGUUUCUAGACGCAAGGUUCCUAAGUCUCUUUCUACGGCCAGCCAUAGCAAUAUCGUCAAUCUGAAAAAAAAACAAAAAAAAUAGAUGGUUAUAAACAAUUCAAAUUUUUUAUAUAAAAAUAAUCUAAACUUAUUCUAAUUCCAUCAUAAUCUAACUCCAUCCUAAUCUAAUUCCAUCCUAAACUAAUUCUAAACCUAAUCUAAUCACCAAACUAACCACCUAAAACUAAAACAAAAAAAAAUUAACUUUGUGACAUUUUAUUAAAGGCAUCUGCUUCCUUAUGCCGUCUCUGACUCAAAUUUGUGCUGUUUGAAUAACCUUAUAUCUAGAAGAAGCUUUUGAUAAUGAUCGAUUAAAGCACACUUAGUCAAGUCACAAGCUUAUGGAUUUAGUGGACUUGUGGUAACAUUUUGCUGCUUCGUCUAGUCAGUUUUUUUAUCAACGCCAUUUAGUAGGCAGAUAUUAUGCUUUUUGUAUUCUCGUUUAUUUCCUUCUUUGUGUGCACCCUUCCCCUUCUAAGUUUUCAUGUUUUGGCCAUAGAGUAACAUCUACUUCACAGCUCACGCUCUCAUCUCUUGAUAUUUUCUUGAAAACAUAAGAUAAUAUAUUGACAUCCUAAAGGUCAAUCUUAUAAACGUAUGUUAAGUGAAUGAUCAGUGUCAUGUCUAGAACUGUUACCACCGACUAUGAUUUCAGAUUUGUUAUAUACCUUCCAACCCUAGGAUUUUUAUUGAUACCUUUGGCUGAUCAACCUUUCAGGUACAAGAACACAACCAUCCUCACAUACUUCUCCUGCAAAUUGGUAACACCUUCUGCAAACUUCCAGGUGGACGCGUGAAGCCUGGAGAGAAUGGUAUGCAGCAUCCAUCUGUUUGUUUGUACUUUCUAUACUUCUGCGAUUUUUUUUGUUGAUUCAUUUUUUGGAUGGUGAACUGUGUUAUGUCUUGCAGAAGUUGAAGGCCUGAAGAGAAAGUUGACCAGUAAGCUUGGAGGCAAUUCCGCUGGUCUUGUACCUGACUGGAAGGUACCAUCCUGGUUUCAUCUCUAUUUCUUUGACUGAUAGGUACAGGUAGAUGCCUUAAAAGAACUAAGUCAGUGUGGCAUGUGCUUGCACUUAAUGCAAACUAGAAGCAAUUCAAACCUUUUGGUUAUUACACUUUGGAAUUCUAGUAACGAGGGAUUCGUAGAAGAAAACAAAGAUAGGUCUGGUCUCUUUGCUAGAGAUUGAUAUGCUAAUUACUUGACAAAAAAAAGACUUUGGGACAACUCCACACAUGUCUGUUUGAGUUAUGAAUAUUGAUUUGAUCCGUAGGCUCUGUUUUUUUUUCCUUUUAACAGGUAGGAGAAUGUGUUGCGACAUGGUGGCGUCCAAACUUCGAAACCAUGAUGUACCCUUACUGCCCUCCUCACAUCACGAAACCAAAGGUAUUAGGAAACAAGAAGGCUAUGUAGCUUAUCAACAGCCUCUUUUAAUCAUCUCCUAAGUGUGUUUUGUUUAUAUCUUCUAUCUGUGGAAUGGCAGGAAUGUAAGAGACUCUAUGUGGUUCACUUGUCUGAGAAAGAGUACUUUGCAGUGCCCAAAAACUUGAAGCUCUUGGCCGUCCCUUUGUUUGAACUCUAUGACAACGUUCAGGUUUAUAUUUCCUGAUACUAUCAAACUUUUAAUAAUGGGUUCUUACCCCGAAACUUCUAAUCGCUUUAUUCGUUUCCUUGAACAGAGAUAUGGACCAGUUAUAUCGACCAUUCCGCAACAGCUAUCCAGAUUCCAUUUCAACAUGAUUAGUUCGUGAUUCUACUUACUUGGUGUUCAAGAACAAGAAACCUUGUUUGAUCAUGAGCUUCUUAGGCAGAGUUCAGAGAUGAUGGGUGUGGGUUUUCUUACAUUAUAAACUUGCUCUGGUUCAUUCAUGUUUCAGCACAAACAGAUUAUUGAUCUGGUUCGGAUCUAAAUGGAUUCGUC